rnacentral:rRNA from 1 species
ACGUACACUCCUACGGGAGGCAGCAGUGGGGAAUAUUGGACAAUGGGCGCAAGCCUGAUCCAGCCAUGCCGCGUGAGUGAUGAAGGCCCUAGGGUUGUAAAGCUCUUUCACCGGUGAAGAUAAUGACGGUAACCGGAGAAGAAGCCCCGGCUAACUUCGUGCCAGCAGCCGCGGUAAUACGAAGGGGGCUAGCGUUGUUCGGAUUUACUGGGCGUAAAGCGCACGUAGGCGGACUAUUAAGUCAGGGGUGAAAUCCCGGGGCUCAACCCCGGAACUGCCUUUGAUACUGGUAGUCUUGAGUUCGAGAGAGGUGAGUGGAAUUCCGAGUGUAGAGGUGAAAUUCGUAGAUAUUCGGAGGAACACCAGUGGCGAAGGCGGCUCACUGGCUCGAAACUGACGCUGAGGUGCGAAAGCGUGGGGAGCAAACAGGAUUAGAUACCCGAGUAGUCCCAUG